rnacentral:rRNA from 1 species
CCUACGGCGUGCAGCAGUGGGGAAUAUUGGACAAUGGGCGAAAGCCUGAUCCAGCCAUGCCGCGUGUGUGAAGAAGGCCUUCGGGUUGUAAAGCACUUUCAGUGGGGAAGAAAGCCUUGGGGCUAAUACCCUCGAGGAAGGACAUCACCCACAGAAGAAGCACCGGCUAACUCCGUGCCAGCAGCCGCGGUAAUACGGAGGGUGCGAGCGUUAAUCGGAAUUACUGGGCGUAAAGCGCGCGUAGGCGGUCUGAUAAGCCGGUUGUGAAAGCCCCGGGCUCAACCUGGGAACGGCAUCCGGAACUGUCAGGCUAGAGUGCAGGAGAGGAAGGUAGAAUUCCCGGUGUAGCGGUGAAAUGCGUAGAGAUCGGGAGGAAUACCAGUGGCGAAGGCGGCCUUCUGGACUGACACUGACGCUGAGGUGCGAAAGCGUGGGUAGCAAACAGGAUUACAUACCCGAGUAGUC